rnacentral:misc_RNA from 1 species
UUUUGAAAUUGUCAAUAUAACGAAGUGGUAUGACUAAAUUCGAAGAAUUUUUCUGCCUUUCAUGAUUCCAUAUAAUUUCUUGAUUCUUAUAUUCACGAAAGAUUCAUUCUAAUUGCCAGUCUCCACUAAGAUAGUUUCCCAACCUCUUUUUCCUUCUCUUACCUUUUCCUGCGAGCUUUUAGUCUCCUCCGAGUCGAUUUUAUGAAUUGAGAUGCUUGUCUGAUGUCAUUUUGCUCCUAGCUAGCCUCUUCUAGUGUCUUUUGGAACUACUAGUUGUUGCCGCAAUCACAGUUGAUGAAGGUUGAUUAUCUGCAUUAACUGUUUUUUCUAUUCCUGGGCAGUCGCCAGUCUCCACUAAGAUAGUUUCCCAACCUCUUUUUCCUUCUCUUACCUUUUCCUGCGAGCUUUUAGUCUCCUCCGAGUCGAUUUUAUGAAUUGAGAUGCUUGUCUGAUGUCAUUUUGCUCCUAGCUAGCCUCUUCUAGUGUCUUUUGGAACUACUAGUUGUUGCCGCAAUCACAGUUGAUGAAGGUUGAUUAUCUGCAUUAACUGUUUUUUCUAUUCCUGGGC